UACGAAGGGUGCAAACGUUGCUCGGAAUUAUUGGGCGUAAAGCGCACGUAGGCGGCUUGGCAAGUCGGAUGUGAAAUCCCUCGGCUCAACCAAGGAAGUGCAUCCGAAACUGCUGAGCUUGAGUACCUAAGAGGAUCGCGGAAUUCCCGGUGUAGAGGUGAAAUUCGUAGAUAUCGGGAGGAACACCAGUGGCGAAGGCGGCGAUCUGGGAAGAUACUGACGCUGAGGUGCGAAAGCGUGGGGAGCAAACAGG
rnacentral:rRNA from 1 species